CUCAUAUAAUUCUUAAUUUAGUUAUGCAUCUUUUCCUAUAAAUUCUGUAACAUACUCAUAAUAGUUAUUCCCUGUCUUAAAUUGAGGGGCAUUCCGCAACAUGCUGGAUUGUGCUCUUUAAAAUCAAGACCAUGGAAAGAAUUGGGAACUGUCUCAGGUCGGAGAGAACUAAGGAGCAUAACAACUAGACCCAAGGCGUGAUCCCGCCCUCCGUUUCCAGUCUCUGUUGUCCACAAGCCCGGCCUCAGAUGGGAACCUACUUACCAGCCCCACCACGCCCCACAACUCGGGCCAGGAGAGCCAUCGACUCUACCUGAUUUUCCGCCCCCAAGAGAGUCACUUCCAACAAGAUCACGGGGCGGGGUCACUUCACCCACUGCUCUGAAUCCAGUGAAUUAAUAAGAAUAGCUUAACAGUAAAGAGAGUAAUUUACCAAGAAAACAUAGCUAUUAUAAAUUUCAUGGGCUUGCAAACUACUAUAAACUCUCUGGGAAAUGAUGUGUUAUUAUAUCAAAAGCCAUACCUUAAAAUAACUUUUAAAUCAUGAAAUUUCAUUUCUUGGAAAGUAUCCUAAAGAAAUAGUUGUACGGGGCUUCCCUGGCGGCUCAGUGGUUAAAAAUCCACCUGCCGAAGCAGACGACGUAGGUUCGAUCCUGAAUCUGGGAAAAUCCCACAUGCCUCGGAGCAAUUGAGCUCCAUGGGCCACAGCAAUCGGUCCUGCGCUUUAGAGCCCGGGAACCGCAACCCCUGAGCCCGCACGCCACAGCUGGUGAAGCCCGCACGCCCUAGAGCCUGUGCAACAAAAGACGCCGUUGCCAUGGAAACCGCACACCCAGCUGGGGAGCAGCCCCGGCUCUCCGUAAUCAGAGAAAGGCCUAUGCAGCCACGAAGACCCAGAACAGUCAAAAAUAAAGAUAAACAAAUAAAUCUACAAAAAUAAUUGUGCAGGAUGGGGAAAUUGAGGAGCAAAGUUACAAACUUAAGAAUCAAAGCAGGAUUUAGACCUGGAUAAUCUGGCUUCUUCAUUGAAAUGUUUAACUUCCAAAAGACAAAGAUGAAGUCCAUCUGCUCCAUCUCAUCUGUUACUCCCUGUGGAUCAGAACCUCUUAACCCAGAAUGUCCUCAGGGCAGAGCGUGACUCAGUUUUCCUAUGCAGGAGCAGACAAAAGGGGUGGAGCUCCCUACCCCACCUCCUCACAGACGACUGAGCAAAAAUGGAGCAGGGCUUCACUCCAAAAUCUUGUGGAUUCAGUUCUCUCUGGGGAUAACUUUGAACUUGGGGCUAGCACAAGGCAACAUCUGAAAUUCUCAGCACCCACCUCAGACAUGCUCCAGUCCAGCGAAUCUAUAGUUUUUUGUGUGUUGAUUACAUGUUGAAAGAGUAAUGUUUUAGAUGUACUAAAUUAAAUGAAAUAUACCCAU
ensembl:lncRNA